UAGAUUCUGAAUUCCUAUUAUUUUAGUUUGUAGGUUGUUUCACAACAUCUGUUGCUUUAGUUCCACUUAAUUUUCUUUUGUCAGGGUUGUGCCCUGACAAGUGAUUCAGAGACUUGAAAAAUAACUCCAUUGCUGUUCUCUACAAAAAAUUCUACCUUGGACAUUUCUUUUGUUGGGUUCUUGAUCAGCAUGUAAUAGAGAUAAUUCUUCUUUUUUUUUUUUCUCUUUUUCUUUCAAGAAACGAUUUGUUAAAUAGAGUUUACAGUGUCAUAUGAGUGUCCAGCAGUUAUCAUCAUCGAGUCGAUACCAGCUUUUGUUUUAUCUCCAAAUUCAGAGCUCUAUCACAGGACAAGCAAAAAUUCCAAUAAUUUUGUAGUUAUUUUCUUAUUACUUUUCAUACUGAAUAUUGAAUAUGUUGAUUUCCAAUUUAAAGCUGUGCUUUUUGUUGAAUGAGUUUUCUUCUUACUGUCCUCUUUUACCCUAUGUUGAUAAUUUCUUUGUAUUUAGGAUUUUUUUUCCUCUAUUGCAUAUAUCCUAAUUAGGGUUCCUAAUUAAGAUUGUAAAAUAUGAAUUUAUAUUUUUGUAUAUUCUAAUUUCCUACUUUAGAAACAUUGCAUAAAUAGGUUGCCUUAUAACUUUCAAAAUUAAGACAAUAAAAAUUAUUCAGUUCAAUCUUUUAUUUCUUUGUCAACACCUUAAUUUCUCUAUGAUAUCCUAAUUACACAUUGAA
rnacentral:misc_RNA from 1 species